AUGGCUUCCUGCGGACAGGACUCAGAACGUUAUUCUCUCUAAUAAAAGCUCGUUUUUCACAAAUCCCAGGACAGCAAAGUGCGCACAACUAAAGCGAUAUAGGUCUCAGGACAGGUUGCAAUUAAUUAAGUAGCAAAGUGGGUUGGAAGAAGGAGAAGAAUUGAUUUAGACGUCUCUCCGUUGCCGAUGCAGAUGUGAUGCUGCCUGUUUUGCUGGCUGGAGGUCUUCUUUGUUUGUUUGUUUGCUGGCUUGGUGUCGUUGGCAGAAGCUCUGUAUUUUUGUUUCAUUUCCCAGGUUUUCAUCCUUUCACAAACCCUACAUGGGUAGUGCAGCCAGUGCUGAUGGAUCUAUCAGAUGUUUCAAUUCGGUACCAAGAAGAACUCUUGGAAAUGCAAAAUGAUGAGUCACUUAAAACUUUAUUCAAUAUAAAAGGAAUGAUGGCAUGGCUUUGUGAUGAGACACAAACUAAAUUCCCAAAUUCAACCUACUUUGCAAGAAAACUGCUGUUACUGUCCACAUCUUCAUAUUUAGCUGAAUGUGGCUUUCAUUUAGUGCUGUAAAUGAUUUGCUACUGAACAAAAGAAAUCAACUGGAUAUUACUGAAUGAGGAGACUUGAGAAUGAAGCUGACUAAAUUGGAUCCUAAUAUAAAAUCUCUCUGCAGCAGGCAUCAAGACAAGGAUCUCAAUAACUUAAGUAGACUAAAGCUGCAAUCCUACAACAUUUUCCCAGGAAUAAGCCACAUUGAAGACAAUGGUACUUACUUCUGAGUAGACAUGCAUAGGAUUGUGUUGUAAAUAUGAUCUCAAGCCAGCAGCCUUCUGUAUAUGCAUAACAAGGGAACAAAGAACAGCACAGUUGAUAUCUCCUGGGCUUCUGGACUUUUUUCUACAAGGAUAAAAGAAGGAAAAAGGAUACCAAGUCUGCUUGAUCUUACUAAGUAAUGCACAGAAUGUUGGGAAAAAUUAUGCAAACAGGUUUGGGCCUCUGCUUGUAUGUUCUUCCAACACAGCAAAACAGGACCAGUUUUGGUAGAAAGGACCAAGGGAAGAAGCCAUAAGCUAGAACCGAGUUUGAAAAAUGAGCCAGAUUUCGCGGAGGGAGAAUAAAAAUAUCCUCCAAUAUAUCCAUUUGGGAGAGGACAUUGGAAAAGGAUUGAGAGUACUUGUGACUACAAGGACACAGAAUCAUCUAAGGCGGAAGAAAGAGUUUUAAAACACCAAAGAAUUAGCCUCUGCAAUCUUUCUAGGAGACAAAGGAGUAUUAAAUAACAGGUAUCACAGAUAGUGCACACCCAAAAAGCAAAAGAACUGUUGAAUGUCAAGGAAAGCUAUGACCUCAUAAAAUUACAAUCUCAUAAAUUUAGUACAGAAAUUGGGCAAUCAAUUCAAGAUAAUCUUCACCAAUGUAACCCGAACAAGCAAAUAACAAAAGAAGAAAUUGUAUAUGAAAAGCUAUGGACCAGACUUUCUGACUUCUAUAUACUUUAAAAUACACAAAUCUGACAUAAUUGCAUCCCUGUAAGAACCCAACAUACAAUUUUGUCAACAAAUUCAUAGCAAAGACGGGGCCAAAUAUUCAUUAAUUGACCUUUACGGUGCCUCAUGAAAAAUGGAAGAGUUAAUAACUGAAGAAGAUGAAAUCAUUUGAUGCCAUUGUGGUCUUCACAUCCAGCGAUUCAAAACAGGUGAAGGAGUUUAUUGCACCAUUCCUAUAUAGCACACCAAUUCCUAACAAGUAAUACAAAUAUUGAAAUUCCAAGAUGUAUUGAACUUAUUGACAUGGGCCUUAUCACAUGCUUGCAGUUUGACAUGCAAAUAUACAAACAUUGUGAACCAUCAAUGGUAUCAACCAUCUCCAGAUUCUUAGUAGAAAUAGUGAUACAAUGUCUAGGAAGUAGCAAUAUUCUUAUGCAUAUCACCCAAAACAUGGGUUUUUUAUGUGGAUAUUUUUGUCAUAAUCAAGAAAGAACAAUUAAACAAUACACACAGGACAAUCCAUUAACAUCUUUGAUGGAAUCAAAUUCAGAACAGUAAAAUAGA